AUUGAACGCUGGCGGCAUGCCUUACACAUGCAAGUCGAACGGCAGCACGGGAGCUUGCUCCUGGUGGCGAGUGGCGAACGGGUGAGUAAUACAUCGGAACGUGCCAGUAGUGGGGGAUAGCCCGGCGAAAGCCGGAUUAAUACCGCAUACGACCUACGGGUGAAAGCGGGGGACCGUAAGGCCUCGCGCUAUUGGAGCGGCCGAUGUCUGAUUAGCUUGUUGGUGGGGUAAAAGCCCACCAAGGCGACGAUCAGUAGCUGGUCUGAGAGGACGAUCAGCCACACUGGGACUGAGACACGGCCCAGACUCCUACGGGAGGCAGCAGUGGGGAAUUUUGGACAAUGGGGGCAACCCUGAUCCAGCAAUGCCGCGUGUGCGAAGAAGGCCUUCGGGUUGUAAAGCACUUUUGUCAGGGAAGAAAUCUUUCAGGCUAAUACCCUUGGAAGGAUGACGGUACCUGAAGAAUAAGCACCGGCUAACUACGUGCCAGCCGCCGCGGUAA
rnacentral:rRNA from 1 species